GGGACAGUAGCUUAGUCUGGUUAAAGCUCCUCGCUCAUAACGGGGUGAUGGGAUGAAAAUCUCACGCGAGUUCAAAUCUUGCCUGUCCCA
rnacentral:tRNA from 1 species